rnacentral:rRNA from 1 species
CCUACGGGAGGCAGCAGUAGGGAAUCUUUCACAAUGGGCGAAAGCCUGAUGGAGCAACGCCGCGUGCAGGAUGAAGGCCUUCGGGUUGUAAACUGCUUUUAUAAGCGAGAAAUAUGAUGGUAACUUAUGAAUAAGGAUCGGCUAACUACGUGCCAGCAGCCGCGGUAAUACGUAGGUGGCAAGCGUUAUCCGGAUUUACUGGUGGUAAAGGGCGAGUAGGCGGGAUUGCAAGUCAGGUGGGAAAACUAUGGGCGCAACCGAUAGUGUGCAUUUGAAACUGCAGUUCUUGAGUGAUGGAGAGGCAGGCGGAAUUCCCGGUGUAGCGGUGGAAUGCGUAGAUAUCGGGAGGAACAACAGUGGCGAAGGCGGCCUGCUGGACAUUAACUGACGCUGAGGCGCGAAAGCGUGGGGAGCAAACAGGAUUAGAUACCCCGGUAGUC